GACGAACGCUGGCGGCGUGCUUAACACAUGCAAGUCGAACGGUGAAGGGGAGCUUGCUCCCUGGAUCAGUGGCGAACGGGUGAGUAACACGUGGGCAACCUGCCCCUGACUUCGGGAUAACGCUUCGAAAGAGGUGCUAAUACCGGAUAUGAACCCUGAGGGCAUCCUCGGGGUUGGAAAGUUUUUCGGUCAGGGAUGGGCCCGCGGCCUAUCAGCUUGUUGGUGAGGUAGUGGCUCACCAAGGCGACGACGGGUAGCCGGCCUGAGAGGGCGACCGGCCACUCUGGGACUGAGACGCGGCCCAGACUCCUACGGGAGGCAGCAGUGGGGAAUAUUGCGCAAUGGGCGAAAGCCUGACGCAGCAACGCCGCGUGAGGGAUGAAGGCCUUCGGGUUGUAAACCUCUUUCAGCAGGGAAGAAGCGAAAGUGACGGUACCUGCAGAAGAAGCACCGGCUAACUACGUGCCAGCCGCCGCGGUAA
rnacentral:rRNA from 1 species